rnacentral:piRNA from 1 species
GUUAGUAAUAGAAUCUGUGCAGAGG